rnacentral:lncRNA from 1 species
CCCUGCGAGCCAAAUCAUGGAGGACGCUGAAGGAUUCGACCAUAGCAAAGAACUGUAUAGUGACGGUAGAAGGGGAGAAUCAUUUAGAAAUCAGCAAAGAUGGCCCGGCGCGGUGGCUGACGCCUGUAAUCCCAGCACUUUGGGAGGCUGAGUCAGGUGGAUCACGAGGUCAGGAGAUGGAGACCAUCCUGGCUAACAUGGUGAAAUCCCGUCUCUACCGAAAAUACAAAAAAAUUAGCUGGGCGUGGUGGCACGCGUCUGUAGCCCCAGCUACUCGGGAGGCUCAGGCAGGAGAAUGGCGUGAACCCGGGAGGCGGAGCUUGCAGUGAGCCGAGAUCGCGCCACUGCUCCCCAGCCUGGGCGACAGAGCGAGACUCCAUCCAAAAAAAAAAAAAAAAAAGAAAGAAAGAAAGGAAAAAAAAUUAAGAAACAAAUCAGCAAAGAUCUAGUGAAUAACUUUUGGGGGACGUUCAGGUAAACAACUUAGGUGAAAAAGACGAUACACCAGUCCAUUUAUGUGACAAAUGUGAAUUAUCAAUUAAAAUCUAUGGACGGAUGAUUACAUGUAAGCAUGUUUUUUGCUAGGUCUGUGCUAUUUUACAUGGAAAAGGAAGAGAUAAGAUGUGUCCAGGCUGUAGCAAUCCUGUGAAGCAAAUUGAGAAACAUACACAAGGUUUUAUCUUCAUGUGUAGCACACUUCAAGGGUUCAAGAGGGACCUAGAGGCUCAUAUCAACUACUGUCAUAUGAGAGUGUAAAACCCUGUUGCUUGUGCCUGACUAGAAAAUGUUCAUCCUCCAUGAUACCCCAUCACGAAUUGAAAUCCCUAACCAUUUUAUGAUGCGGCCAGACAAGCACCAUAUGAGCCAAUAUUCCCCCAAAGCAGCACAUUAUGAUACCUACUUUCUUUGCAGCAUUUGCCACAUGAGCUACAUCAUUAGCCCCAAGGAUAUUCAUGCUCCUGCAGCAGAAUUGUUCACGGCUUUACCUCCAUCUCCUUCAGUAAGUCAAGGAACCUUUGUAUUUCAACAAGAAAACAUGGCAAUUUCAUAACUGUUCCUAUUCAAAAGCACUCCAAUUCAGGUGCUUGAGAACCACACCUACUUCCUCCACAUUUGCUCACCAUCAUCCUGAAUAUCAAGGUCAACGAGUAGUAUUGAGUUCUUAUAAUACUCUACCUCCAUAGCUACAUUCUGUACCAUAGCACCUCUUCUGCUACCAACAAGCCAUGCAAUGCCACAUCUUCCUUAGGCUGCAGGUACUCCUCACUUGGUUCAUAGCUAAGCUUCAAGUCCAGCAAUGACCUCUACUCUACCACUCUCUUCACGGACAUAGUAUUGUCCAGAUGCCACCUCAUAUAAGAUAUCUUCUUCCAGGACCUGCCUCACAACAACAUGUAAAAACACACCCUUCUCACCAUUAUAAUCAUAACUCUUUACCCAAGUUCACUGAAUAUCAAGGAACUCCGAGUCCUCCAUUUAUACAACCAGGGGAAAUGAUUCAUGACAUGUGGCCUGUACCUGGACGGCCACCCCUUCCUCUAUGAAUGCAGAAUCUACCUUCUCAAACCCUACUUCUUGGGACACAUCAUCCGGGUCAGAC